CAGCACAUAGUCUCAUGCAUAUAUUUUCCUUUCUGACUUAAGCAUCGGAAGGACGACGAGAACAUAUCUCGUUGCCUUUGUUUCCGGUACGGGAAGACCACUAUCGUGAUCAACCCGAAUCAUCAAACUCGGAAAAUCAGCAGGUACGAUUUUUGGUAGCAUCAAGACUCAAACAGACUCUAAAUAUUCCUAAAUUUGAAAAGCUUUUAAGAUUUGUAUAAUUUUGCAAAUUUCAGAAACAUUUGAAGGCUGAAGAUUACGCUCACUUCUUGAAGCUUCUCUGUGAACAUGGAGAUACGAGAAAUAGUAUUGAGAAUUUAUGCUCUGAGGUAUCGUUUAAUCAUUUAAAUUUUUCUAGUGGACAUGAACUUUAAGUUAAUAUUCAGAUAUUGUCCAUGAAUUCCUAACUAUAACUUAAUCCAUGAAUGACAACAGGUGUAGGACUUGUACAUUCAGUGCAUUUGGUACAUAGAAUUAAACUGUAUUAAAAAGUACAAAAGAUGAGAGUGUAACUUUUAGUUUCCAUUGCUGUCUAAUGCACCUCACAAGACACCCUCAUGUUCACAAUUAUGCACUUAGUAGCGGUUUUCGCAUUGGAUAGUGGGUAUUGGGAACUUUUUCCUUGAACUUUGAAGUUGUUUUUAAGUAAAUUCGUAAGUGCAGUACUAAGGUCCCUCGCUCUUCCAGAUGCGUAGCAGCUUUUUGUUUAUUUAUACUAUCGUUGUAUAUAGUGAAGAUUAGGCCCUUUUUGACCCACAUUCUUUAAAAAAAAAAAAAAAAAAAAAAAUAUAUAUAUAUAUAUAUAUAUAUAUAUAUAUAUAUAUAUAUAUAUAUAUAUAUAUAUAUAUAUAUACACCUUCUUAGAUAGUGAUUUUACAUUAUUUCAACUAACAUUUUUCAAUAAAAUAAUAUUAUAUACAAAUCCAAAACUUUUUCUUAUUUUUCAACCAUACAUUUCUUACCAAUACACUAUUCAAAAAUGCAUUCUUAUGAAAAUAAUGUGGCUCAAACAUGGGCUAUAUGAUUUUCAUUCUCUUAGCGAUCAGAAUGUGUUGAAUUACGGGGAAAUUUUAUUGGAUAGUUAUAAUUUUUCUAUUGCUUCCUCGAUCUUAGCUUACUGCUCAACCCAUUGCAGAUCGGCAGUUUUCUCAGUUGUGAGCCAGAUCUGAUGCAAAAGUUCAACUCCUUUUUACCUGCCUUCGAAGCCAAUGAUCACUGAAUAUGAGAUAUCUCAAUAAAAGCUGAAUGAAAAUCGAAGACAAGAUUCGUGCUUCCUUACAUGGACCUUUUUACUUAAUUUAUGUGAAUUCUUACUGAAGACAGAUUUGUUGAAUGGAAUUUUAUCCCCUGCACUCAUUCAUCUAAUAAUGACAUCUUCAAGAACAGAAGGGAACUUAGACCUCAUGAUAUAGUAUUUGCGGAAUAGUGCUUAUCCUUUUGCUAUUCUUAAAAUACUCUUAAUAUGUGAAUUUCGGUUUCUAAGUGUGGCCAUUUUUACUUUAGUGUGGUAGGUUCAAUUAGAGUGAAUUGUAUAAUAUAGUAUAAAUUGUUUAAUCGUUUUAAUACUAACACUUUGGAAGAUAGCAUUUCAACUUGAG
rnacentral:lncRNA from 1 species